rfam:Bacterium CG2_30_37_16 isolate CG2_30_37_16 cg2_3.0_scaffold_15920_c, whole genome shotgun sequence.
GGCGGGGUAGCUCAGUGGUAGAGCGAAGGACUGAAAAUCCUUGCGUGGGCAGUUCGAUUCUGCCCCUCGCCA